rnacentral:rRNA from 1 species
UACGGGGGGGGGCAAGCGUUUGUUCGGAAUUACUGGGCGUAAAGGGCUCGUAGGUGGCCAACUAAGUCAGACGUGAAAUCCCUCGGCUUAACCGGGGAACUGCGUCUGAUACUGGAUGGCUUGAGUUCGGGAGAGGGAUGCGGAAUUCCAGGUGUAGCGGUGAAAUGCGUAGAUAUCGAGAGGAACACCUGCGGCGAAGGCGGGUUGCUGGGCCGACACUGACGCUGAGGCGCGAAAGCCAGGGGAGCGAACGGG